GAUGAACGCUGGCGGCGUGCCUAACACAUGCAAGUCGAGCGAAGCGGGGACGGGGGAGUAACACGUGGAUAACCUCCCAUAAGACGGGGAUAACUUCCGGAAACCGGAGCUAAACCGGACACUUAUAGAUUGAUCCGUGAUGCAUUAGCUAGUUGGUAAGGUAACGUCUUGCCAAGGCAACGCUGCAUAGCCGACCUGAGCGGGUGAUCGGCCACACUGGAACUGAGACACGGUCCAGACUCCUACGGGAGGCAGCAGUAGGGAAUCUUCCGCAAUGGGCGAAAGCCUGAUGCAGCCAUGCCGCGUGUGUGAAGAAGGCCUUCGGGUUGUAAAGCACUUUCGGCGGAGAGGCGUUAUUCGCAGAAGAAGCACCGGCUAACUACGUGCCAGCAGCCGCGGUAAUUC
rnacentral:rRNA from 1 species